AGCCUAUUAGCUCAAUUGGUAGAGCAUUGUGCAAAUUCACAAAGACGUGGGUCCGACUCCCACGUAGGUUU
rfam:Spinacia oleracea cultivar SynViroflay scaffold3743.con0009.1, whole genome shotgun sequence.